rnacentral:rRNA from 1 species
UACAGAGGUCUCAAGCGUUGUUCGGAAUCAUUGGGCGUAAAGGGUGCGUAGGUGGCGUGGUAAGUCAGAUGUGAAAGCCCGAGGCUCAACCUCGGAAUUGCAUCCGAUACUACCAUGCUAGAGUACUGAAGAGGUGACUAGAAUUCUCGGUGUAGCAGUGAAAUGCGUAGAUAUCGAGAGGAAUACCAAAGGCGAAGGCAGGUCACUGGGCAGUUACUGACACUGAGGCACGAAGGCUAGGGGAGCAAACGGG